AGCUUGGCAAUAUGGCGUCGGCGAGGCAGCGAAGGCCGCCGCUUUUUCUCUUCCAGGCUCUUCUGGGUUUCUGAGGCAGGCCGGCCCCGAGUAUGGGCUCUCUGUCGCCGCUCAGCUUCCUGUGGGGACUCCUCCUGCUGCAGGGCGUCCUGAGGCCGCUGCGCGGGGACCCGGUUUUCAUCCCACCUUUCAUCCGGAUGUCCAGCCCUGAGGUCCGCGCGACCCUGGUCGGAGGCAGCGAGGAUGUCGCCGUGUCUCUGGCUCCGCUGCAGGUCGAGGACGGAGUGUUACCAGUUCCUACCUGUGGCGGCCUCCACAAUGAGACAGCGGAUUGGAAUGUGACUGUGAGCCCCCGAGAGAACACGCUGGAAGUGACCAUAAGGUGGAAGAGGGGUCUAGACUGGUGCUCCGCAGGCGAGACGGCCUCGUUCUCAGAGCCCCCGUGCGUCGUGCAGACCCUGCUGGUUUCAGCCUCCCACAAUGCAUCCUGCUUAGCGCAUCUGCUCAUCCAGGUGGAGAUUUAUCCUAACACAUCUGUAACCCACAACGUGUCAGAGAACAUGACUGUCAUUCCUAACCAAGUCUGUCAGCCCCUGGGUCCCUGCCCGUGCGACCUAACAGCCAAGGCCUGUGACAUUCGAUGCUGCUGUGACCAGGUAAGCUUUUCUUCUGUUUUCCAGGUUAUCUGAGAACGUAGGGGGCUCCAGCUGUCACCCCCACUGGGUAGGUGACAACAGAGAUUAGAUUUCAUCUUGCAAAUCAGUUUUUUUUUUUUUGGUUGUUUUGUUUUGUUUUGUUUUUGAGAUUGGGUCUCAUGUAGUCCAAGCUGGCCUGGAAGACUCCAUGUGGUGGGGAGUGGCUUUGAACUCUUGUUCCUCCUGUCUCUAUCUCAGAGCUGCAUAUUGUGUUAAAAUUGAGUAUUUUCUCUUCUGGUGUUGUCUGUGUAGUUUGUGGAGGAAAGAGGGGAGUAUGUCUUUGGAUAAAAUCACCUUAGGGAGAGCUAUAGGUUGAGGGUGAUUUUAAUCUUAUUUUAAAAUUUUAACUACAUUUAUUUGUGUGUGUGAGUGAGUUUGUGUGUGUGUGUGUCUGUGUGUGUGUGUAUGUCUGUGUGUGUUAUGGAGGGUUAUGCUACAGUACAUAUGUAGAGGUUCCUGGAAUAAAACUCCAGUUACCAGGCUUGUUAGCAGACAUCUUCCCACGCUGAGCCACACUGCCAGCCCUGGCUUGUUUAUUUAGUAACAAGUCUCACUAUGUAGUCUAGGCUGACCUCCAAGGUAAGGUAGACCUCCUGCCUCAGCUUUCCUGAGUGCCAGGAUUGAAGGCACAAACCACCACACCUGGUUUAUAAUACAUACCUUAAAAUUACACAAAUGAUAGGCAUGUUCGCUGGUACCCAGGGUCUUUCAUUUUUUUCGGGAAUAUGGUCACAUGUGGUUGAGUUUUGUUUGUUGUUGUUGCUUUUGUUCAUCUGUUUUGAGAGUCUCUCUCUAUAACCUUUGUUAGCCUACAACUUGCUGUGUAGCCCAGGCUGGCCUCAAACUCACCAAGAUCUGCCUGUUUCUGUCUUCUGAGUGCUGGGAUUGAAGGGCAGUUGUUAGUGCUUCAAGGCGGGUUUUGCUGGCUGCGUGCUUACCGUGGGUGUGGGGAACCUGGCACUCCCAAUCCGGUUUCUGCUUCCCAAGUGCUAGACAGACAGACAGACCUAUCCUAUUGAACAAAUCAACACAGAACCCUUCAGAGAUACUUACUGUCUAAUCUUGUUGUAAAAUCUUGGGAGGUAAAUACACCCGUGAACUUGACCACCACUGUACAGGGAGGCACGGGGGGGGGGGGGUGUUACAGGGCCACCUAAGCAAACUCGCAGGUCAUCGGGCAGCCAUUGGAGACCCUCAAAAACCAAAGCAACACAAACAAAAACGGCCGUGAGGGGCACCUGUCUGCAGAGGCUUUUUUGUCACGUGCUCCCAUGUGUCACUGUGCUAGCAGUAGAGUUACAUAAUCAGGAUGGCUCCAGCCAAGCUGAACCCGGCCAUUACUAACUGCCCUCGAAGCUGGUUGUGUUGUCGACUGUGGUAGCUGCUCCUCUUGGGAUUCCUAAGGUAGCACCGAGUGUGGUGCCACAGGCCCGCAAGUCUAGCCCUGGGAAGGAAAAGGCUCAGGUUUACUGAGGAUCGUGUGGUAAAUAUUAUUUGGGGGUUUCUACCCUACCUUGGAUCAUUUAGUUACC
ensembl:processed_transcript